rnacentral:rRNA from 1 species
AUUGAACGCUGGCGGCAGGCCUAACACAUGCAAGUCGAGCGAGCGGCGGACGGGGGAGUAAUGUCUGGGAAACUGCCUGAUGGAGGGGGAUCACUACUGUAAACGGUAUCUAAUACCGCAUACCAUCAGAUGUGCGCAGAUGGGAUGAGCUAGUAGGUGGGGUAACGUCUCACCUAGGCGACGAUCCCUAGCUGGUCUGUGAGGAUGAGCAGACACACUGGAACUGAGACACGGUCCAGACUCCUACGGGAGGCAGCAGGGGGGAAUAUUGCACAAUGGGCGAAAGCCUGAUGCAGCCAUGCCGCGUGUGUGAAGAAGGCUUUCGGGUUGUAAAGCACUUUCAGCGGGGAGGCGUUACCCGCAGAAGAAGCACCGGCUAACUCCGUGCCAGCAGCCGCGGUAAUAC